GGAGAGCCGGGGGCUCGAACCGGGAUUCUUAUGCCGGUCCUUGUGCUUUGUGCCACAUGCGCUUAACGCACUGCCCUACCGCCCGACUCCCUCUCUCUUUCUCUUCUCUGAAUAGAGACAGACUGGUUUUUGCUUGAGGGUAUACGAGUAGCUGUGCUCCCCUGCUAGAACCUCCAAACAAGCUCUUAAAAGUGCCCUUCUCUUGAGAUCAUUUCAUCUUAAAUGACUUUAUUUACUUUAUUGUCCCCGAGAUGAUCGCUGGGGCUCAAU
ensembl:misc_RNA 7SK 7SK RNA